CAAUAGCGUAUAUUAAAGUUGUUGCGGUUAAAAAGCUCGUAGUUGGAUUUCUGCUGAGAACGACCGGUCCGCCCUCUGGGUGUGUAUCUGGCUCUUUCUUGGCAUCUUCUUGGUGAACGUUGCUGCACUUGACUGUGUGGAGCGCUACCCAGGACUUUUACUUUGAGGAAAUUAGAGUGUUUCAAGCAGGCAUACGCCUUGAAUACAUUAGCAUGGAAUAAUAAGAUAGGACCUCGGUUCUAUUUUGUUGGUUUCUAGAGCUGAGGUAAUGAUUAAUAGGGAUAGUUGGGGGCAUUCGUAUUUAACUGUCAGAGGUGAAAUUCUUAGAUUUGCUGAAGAUGAACAACUGCGAAAGCAUUUACCAAGGAUGUUUUCAUUAA
rnacentral:rRNA from 1 species